rnacentral:rRNA from 1 species
GAUUGAACGCUGGCGGCAGGCCUAACACAUGCAGGUCGAGCGGAUGACGGGAGCUUGCUCCUGGAUUCAGCGGCGGACGGGUGAGUAAUGCCUAGGAAUCUGCCUGGUAGUGGGGGAUAACGUCCGGAAACGGGCGCUAAUACCGCAUACGUCCUGAGGGAGAAAGUGGGGGAUCUUCGGACCUCACGCUAUCAGAUGAGCCUAGGUCGGAUUAGCUAGUUGGUGGGGUAAAGGCCUACCAAGGCGACGAUCCGUAACUGGUCUGAGAGGAUGAUCAGUCACACUGGAACUGAGACACGGUCCAGACUCCUACGGGAGGCAGCAGUGGGGAAUAUUGGGCAAUGGGCGAAAGCCUGAUCCAGCCAUGCCGCGUGUGUGAAGAAGGUCUUCGGAUUGUAAAGCACUUUAAGUUGGGAGGAAGGGCAGUAAGUUAAUACCUUGCUGUUUUGACGUUACCAACAGAAUAAGCACCGGCUAACUUCGUG